ensembl:lncRNA LINC01039 long intergenic non-protein coding RNA 1039
GGGCGGUUUGAGACCAGCCUGGGCAAUAUAGCAACCGUCCUGCUGGCACACAAACCCUCCUGCCUCUAAACAGAAUUUGAUGGGCCCCUUGGCAAAGGCAGGUUUUAGAAACUCCUCGGGGGCUGGAGCGCAAGGAGAGUCUGAGCCAGGCCAAGCCUCCCUGGGGGAACAUGGCUGAAGGAAGACCUACAGACAUCUCCCCUGGGUGGGAGCCUGUGUUCAGAAGCAGCAGAUCCAAGUCUCUGUGUGGCUGAGGAGAGGACAUCCUGCUGGCAACACGGAGAAUGCCAUAUAACAGCUAAGACAGAGAUCAGAGCCAUGCAGCUGCAAGCCGAAGCAGGCCAAGGAUUGCCAGCAAACCAAGAGAGGCUGGAAGAAGAGAGAAGGAUCUUUCCCUGCUGAUUUCACAGGGAGCAUGGCCCUUGAUCUCAGGACCUUGACCCCAGAACUUUCUGGCUGCCAAUACCAAGUUCCUCCUCUCCAUCUCACAUUCAAAGAGCACACAGAGAGGCUCUAAUUGGGUCUUUCUACAUCCUGUGUCCGUACAGAGCUCUCGCGUUUGGGUGGGGACUUUGCACCGUGACCAGUCUAAGAUCAGCACCAGCCCCUGGUCCAAUCAGCUGUGGCCAAGACCCUUGAAGACACAGGCA